rnacentral:rRNA from 1 species
GACGGGGACCCGCACAAGCGGUGGAGCAUGUGGUUUAAUUCGAAGCAACGCGAAGAACCUUACCAGGUCUUGACAUCGAUCCGACAGGGCAACAAAAUGCCCUUCUCUUCGGAGCGGAGAAGACAGGUGGUGCAUGGUUGUCGUCAGCUCGUGUCGUGAGAUGUUGGGUUAAGUCCCGCAACGAGCGCAACCCUUAUCCUAAGUAGCCAGCGGUUUGGCCGGGCACUCUUGGGAGACUGCCAGGGAUAACCUGGAGGAAGGUGGGGAUGACGUCAAAUCAUCAUGCCCCUUAUGAUCUGGGCUACACACGUGCUACAAUGGCGUAAACAAAGAGACGCGAAGCCGCGAGGCAGAGCAAAUCUCAAAAAUAACGUCUCAGUUCGGACUGCAGGCUGCAACUCGCCUGCACGAAGCUGGAAUCGCUAGUAAUCGCGAAUCAGAAUGUCGCGGUGAAUACGUUCCCGGGUCUUGUACACACCGCCCGUCACACCAUGGGAGUCGGUAAUGCCCGAAGCCAGUGACCCAACCAUGAUGGAGGGAGCUGUCGAAGUUCAGGACCGAUG